rnacentral:lncRNA from 1 species
GCCACUUCCCCCCUCAGGAGAUCCACCUGAGUGCCCACAUGAGCCCAGACAGGCCCUAUCUCCUCAGUUUGGGUUGCCACCUCGGACCGGCUGCUGCGACAGGUGCCCACCAUGGCAAACUCUAGGUUCUAAGAGGCAGAGUUCCCUGAGGAGAGGAGGGGAAGAGAAAGGGAGGUGGGAAAGGGAGGAGAGGAUCCUCCUCGCACUUCUCCCUGCCCCACGCGAACUGCCUGCGCUCACUGCCAAGCCGGCCCUGUUAGUUCGUCAUGUUCGGGGCGCUCCCUAGGGCCUGCUCUUACAGCGCCAGGGGGUGUGUGGGGGGGCUGCCGUCACCCCGGCUCCGCCCGCAGCACGGCACAAGCACAGCUCCUGCCUGCUCGGGGCUGGGGCUCUGACCGAGAGGCUCUGUGCCGCGAUAUUGGGGGGGUUAGGGGUUGGCUCCGUCCGUCUCCCUGCCACGAGCCCUCCCUGCAGCCGACCCGCGUGAGGUGCUGGUUAAAAUGGCGGGAACUUUAUAGCCACAGGACCAAGUCCAACCGAAGUGUUUUUACAGAACGCUGUUGGUGCUAAGGAGUCACAAAUUCAUUUCGAGUACAAGUCGUUCUACACAAGCAUAACAUUUGUUUAAUAAGAAUUACUUUUAACUAUUUCACGUACAAGUUAUAAAAAAAAAGAAGCAAUUUAUGAUUCAACUAUUUAGACUCCCAAAUGUUAUAGACUCUUAUUUCCUUCUCUCUAAAGAACUGAUCAGAAAGAUAAAGUUCUUACCUAGAUUAAAAUUGGUUUAAUUAUCCCUAACAAUCUCCCACUGACACAUUGUUCCAGAAACAAGAAUGGAAGAAGCUGUCUAUCAUCAGGAUGAAACUAUUGUCAAGCCCGUGAAGAGCACAAGUACUCCAUUUGGAUUCUGGUCAUCACUUUUAUUCAUACAAGGCAUCAGUAUUACCACAUGCACUGAGAAACCAAGCAUUUGAAUGCCAGCACAGUUAUAGAAUCAUAGAAUCAUUAAGGUUGGAAAAGACCUCCAAGAUCAUCUGGUCCAACCAUCACCCUACCACCACUGUCACCCA